rnacentral:rRNA from 1 species
UACGUAGGGACCAAGCGUUGUUCGGAUUUACUGGGCGUAAAGGGCGCGUAGGCGGCGUGUUAAGUCACUUGUGAAAUCUCUAAGCUUAACUUAGAACGGUCAAGUGAUACUGAUGUGCUAGAGUGCAGAAGGGGCAACCGGAAUUCUUGGUGUAGCGGUGAAAUGCGUAGAUAUCAAGAGGAACACCUGAGGUGAAGACGGGUUGCUGGGCUGACACUGACGCUGAGGCGCGAAAAGCUAGGGUAGCAAACGGG